rnacentral:rRNA from 1 species
AAUGAACGCUGGCGGCGUGCCUAACACAUGCAAGUCGAACGAGAAAGCCCGCAAGGGUGAGUACAGUGGCGCACGGGUGAGUAAUACAUAGGAAUCUGCCUCUGAGUGAAGAAUACCCUAGAGAAAUUUAGGUUAAUACUGCAUAAGCCCAGAAAUGGGGAAAGGUGGCCUCAAGCUACCGCUGAGAGAUGAGCCUAUGGCCUAUUAGCUAGUUGGUAGGGUAAAAGCCUACCAAGGCGAGGAUGGGUAGCCGGCCUGAGAGGGUGUACAGCCACACUGGAACUGAGACACGGUCCAGACUCCUACGGGAGGCAGCAGUGGGGAAGCUUGCACAAUGGGCGAAAGCCUGAUGCAGCGACGCCGCGUGGAGGAUGAAGGUUUUCGGGUUGUAAACCUCUUUCAGCAGGGACGAAGCGAGAGUGACGGUACCUGCAGAAGAAGGACCGGCCAACUACGUGCCAGCCGCCGCGGUAA